AAACUCAAAGGAAUUGACGGGGACCCGCACAAGCAGCGGAGCGUGUGGUUUAAUUCGUUGCUACACGAAGAACCUUACCUGGGUUUGACAUAUAGGUUGUAGGGAACUGAAAAGGGACCGACCUUCGGGGAGCCUAUACAGGUGUUGCAUGGCUGUCGUCAGCUCGUGUCGUGAGAUGUUCGGUUAAGUCCGCUAACGAGCGCAACCCUCGUCGUAUGUUAUAUGUGUCAUACGAGACUGCCGGUAAAAGCCGGAGGAAGGUGAGGAUGAUGUCAAGUCAGCAUGACCUUUAUAUCCAGGGCUACACACACGCUACAAUGGUCUGUACAAUUGGUUGCCAAGCCGCGAGGCGGAGCCAAUCCGUAAAGCAGGCCUCAGUUCAGAUUGCAGUCUGCAACUCGACUGCAUGAAGCCGGAGUUGCUAGUAACCGCAGGUCAGCAAUACUGCGGUGAAUACGUUCCCGGGUCUU
rnacentral:rRNA from 1 species